UACGAAGGGGGCUAGCGUUGCUCGGAAUCACUGGGCGUAAAGGGUGCGUAGGCGGGUCUUUAAGUCAGGGGGUGAAAUCCUGGAGCUCAACUCCAGAACUGCCUUUGAUACUGAAGAUCUUGAGUUCGGGAGAGGUGAGUGGAAUUGCGAGUGUAGAGGUGAAAUUCGUAGAUAUUCGCAAGAACACCAGUGGCGAAGGCGGCUCACUGGCCCGAUACUGACGCUGAGGCACGAAAGCGUGGGGAGCAAACAGG
rnacentral:rRNA from 1 species